rnacentral:snRNA from 1 species
GGGUGAUCUGUCUGCAUCAUCUGUCACGACACUGAUUUCCAGGGUUGAUUCUGGUCAUCUAGCCAGCUAAGCAGGUGUUCCCUUCUUUAUGUCAUCCCACAGGUGUCUCUCCAGAAGCCACACUCUCUGCCAAGACAACCUUUCUUUGAACUUAGGAGGACCCAUCUUUGGUCACUGAUAUAACAGUAUCUUGGUUCUCUGGAUUCUCUGUUAGAACCUCCAAACAAGCUCUUGUGUUGAACAUUUGCUCUUACUGUAUUUGAAAUGCUUUUAUUGUUUAUUUCUGAUU